rnacentral:rRNA from 1 species
UACAGAGGUCUCAAGCGUUUGUUCGGAUUCAUUGGGCGUAAAGGGUGCGUAGGCGGCGCGGUAAGUCGGGUGUGAAAUCUUGGAGCUUAACUCCGAAACUGCAUUCGAUACUGCCGGUGCGUUGAGGACUUGGAGAGGAGACUGGAAUUUACGGUGUAGCGGUGAAAUGCGUAGAUAUCGUAAGGAAGACCAGUGGCGAAGGC